rnacentral:rRNA from 1 species
AUUAAAAAGUUAACUGUGUAAAUCAGUUUAGUUUGAAUUUUAUAAAAUUAUUAUUUAUUAUUUUAAAAAAAAUAUUUUUAUUUUUUAUUAUUAUUUGUAGAAAAAAGUCAAUUAAUUAUAGUUAAUAAGUAUAGUGAUAGAAUUAUAUUAAAAUAUAAAAAGAAAAAUUUAUUUUUUGUACCUUGUGUAUCAGGGUUUAUUAAUUAAAUUUUAAUUAUUAUUAAAUUUCUCGAUUUUAAAAGAGUUAAUUAUUUAUGUAUUUUAUUGUAAAAUAAAUACUUAAAAUAAAUAAUUAGUAAUGAAACGUUAUUCGUUUUUAAAUAUAUCUAGUUCUUAAAGAAAAAAAUUCAAUUUUUUUUAUAUAAAUAUUUAAUUUUUAUUAAAAAUUAAAAUUUUAUGUAGCCUAUAUUAUUUGGGAUAAGCUAGAUAAUAGAAUAGUAUAAAUUUAUGUUAAUAUAUUUAAAUUGUAGAAUUAGAAAUUUUCAUCAUUUAAUUUGUUAUAAUUAAUUAAUGAUUUUAAAAGAUUUAUAUAAAUUUUAAUUUUUUUAUUUAAGUAUUAAAUUUAAUUAAUAAAUUUAAGAGAUAAUGAUAAAAUUAGUAUAAUUUAUUGUAUAAUUUAUUUAAUUAGGUUAUGUUAUAAAAAGGAAUUCGGCAAAUAAAUUUUUCGCCUGUUUAUUAAAAACAUGUCUUUUUGAUUUUAAUUUAAAGUCUAACCUGCCCAAUGAGUAGUUUAAUGGCCGCAGUAUUUUGACUGUGCAAAGGUAGCAUAAUCAUUAGUUUCUUAAUUAGGAACUGGAAUGAAAGGUUGGACGAGAGAAUGACUGUCUCUUUAUAAUUUUUUUAGAAUUUUAUUUUUAAGUUAAAAAGCUUAAAUUUUUUUAAAAGACGAGAAGACCCUAUAGAGUUUUAUAUAAUUUUAUUUAAGUAAUUAAAAUUGAAUUUUUUAAGUUUUAAAGUUAAUUAUAUUUGAUUGGGGUGAUUAAAAAAUUUAAUAAACUUUUUUUAAAUAAUAACAUUAAUAUAUGAUUUGUUGAUCCAUAAUUUAUGAUUACAAGAUUAAAUUACCUUAGGGAUAACAGCGUAAUUUCUUUGAAGAGUUCAAAUCGAUAAAGAAGGUUGCGACCUCGAUGUUGGAUUAAAAUUAAAUUUUGGUGUAGGAGCUAAAAUAUUAGGUCUGUUCGACCUUUUAAAUUUUACAUGAUCUGAGUUUAAACCGGUGUGAGCCAGGUUGGUUUCUAUCUUUAAAUAAUUUAUAUAUUCUAGUACGAAAGGACCGAAUAUUUAUAAAAUUUAUUAUUAAUUGAAUUUUAAUAAUUAUUAUUUUGGCAGAUUAGUGCAUUAAAUUUAGAAUUUAAUUAUGUAAUUAAAUUACAAA